rnacentral:tRNA from 1 species
GCCUUCGUGGUCUAAUGGUAAGAACACUUACCUUUCACCCUGGAGUCCUGGGUUCGAUCCCCAGUCGAAGCGCU